rnacentral:rRNA from 1 species
GUUUUUAACAGUAGCGGACGGGUGAGUAAUGUAUGAGAAUCAACGUUUAGGAAGGGUAUAACAUUUGGAAACUUUUGCUAAUCCCCUAUAAUGCAUAUUUUGUUAAAGUUUUUCGCCUAGACAUGAGCUUAUAUUUGAUUAGUUAGUUGGUGAAUUAAUAGUUUACCAAGACAAUGAUCAAUAGCUAGUUUGAGAAGAUGAUUAGCCACACUGGGAUAGAGUUUUUACGGAACAGACUUCUACGGAAGGCAGCAGUGAGGAAUAUUCCGCAAUGAGUGAAAGCUUGACGGAGCAAUGCCACGUGGAGGAAGAAGGCUUUAGGGUUGUAAUCUCCUUUUGUCACUGAAGAAUAAAUGACGGUAAGUGAAGAAUAAGCAUCGGCUAAUUUUGUGCCAGCAGCCGCGGUAAUACAAGAGAUGCUAGCGUUAUCCGGAAUUAUUGGGCGUAAAGAGUUUGUAGGCUGUAAAAUGUGUUUGAUGCUAAAUCUUAAAGCUUAACUUUAUUUCCGCAUCGAAAACUAUUUUACUUGAAUAUAGUAGAGGUAAAGGGAAUUUCCAGUGUAGUAGUGAAAUACGUAGAUAUUGGGAGGAACACCAUUGGCGAAAGCGCUUUACUAGGCUAAUAUUGACGCUGAGAAACGAAAGCUAAGGGAGCAAAUCGGAUUAGAUACCCGAGUAGUCUUAGCAGUAAAUGAUGGAUAUUAAGUGGCGGUUAUCCGCUGCUGUAGCUAACGCGUUAAAUAUCCCGCCUGGGGAGUACGCUUGCAAAAGUGAAACUCAAAGGAAUUGACGGGUUUCCGCACAAGCGGUGGAGCAUGUGGUUUAAUUCGAUGGUACACGAAGAACCUUACCAGGGUUUGACAUGUUGAGAAGUUUUCUGAAAAGAAGAUGUGCCGUAAGGAACUCAAACACAGGUGGUGCAUGGCUGUCGUCAGCUCGUGUUGUGAAAUGUUGGGUUAAGUCCCGUAACGAGCGCAACCCCUAUUUUUAAUUGCUUUUUAAACUUUAAAGAAACUGCUAGUGUUAAGCUAGAGGAAGGUGGGGAUGAGGUCAAGUCAUCAUGCCCUUUAUACCCUGGGCUACACACGUGCUACAAUGGUUAAGACAAUGAGUCGCUAGUUUGUAAAAAUAAGCUAAUCUCUUAAACUUAACCUCAGUUCGGAUUGUAGACUGCAACUCGUCUAUCUGAAGUAGGAAUCGCUAGUAAUCACCGAUCAUCUAUGCGGUGGUGAAUACGUUCUCGGAAAUUGUCCACACCGCCCGUCACGCUUUGGAAGUUGGCUGUGUCUGACGAUAUUAUUUUAACAACUUGUUGAGAAAGGUAUCUAAGGCCUGGUUGGUACCUGAAGCGAAG